rnacentral:rRNA from 1 species
GUCACCUACGGGAGGCAGCAGUGGGGAAUAUUGCACAAUGGGGGAAACCCUGAUGCAGCAACGCCGCGUGAGUGAAGAAGGUUUUCGGAUUGUAAAGCUCUGUUAGCAGGGAAGAGGAAGGACGGUACCUGCAGAGGAAGCCACGGCUAACUGCGUGCCAGCAGCCGCGGUAAUACGUAGGUGGCAAGCGUUGUUCGGAAUAACUGGGCGUAAAGGAUGCGUAGGCGGUUAGACAAGGUAUAUGUUAAA